GACAUUCUCAUUCAGCUACUGACUUAGCGGUUACUACUGACUUACUUUAUAAUGACUUUGUUGCUUCCGAUCCAGGGGUACUACGCCUUUCCAUCUCAUCUAACUCUUUCACUCCUUUACUAUACUAAUACAUACAACUACUUAUCUAUUUACUACUUUCCUCUUGAACUUCUUGACUAGUAAUGAAUUCUUUGGUUAGCUAGUAUAGUCUAGCCCCAACUCCCCGGUAGUAGUAGCACUGGUAGCAGACUUUCGCACAGAUCCAAUCUCUCUUUAGCUUCGGCUUGAGCCCUCUUAUUCUUAUAAAGAAGUUGUUUAAAGAGCAGGUGAGGAAGCUUUCUCAUUUGUCAUAUAAUAUGGGGUUUGUUUUUGUUUGUUGUUAUGAAGUCCUGUCUUUUGAGUCCUGAGUGAACCUUAUUAAUAGCUAAAGUGAUGUUUGUUGUUUCAAGAUCAGAAGUAGCAAGCGGGUAUCUCGGGUAUAGAAGAGAAGGCCCUUCUAAAUAAUUGCUAGUGCAUCUAGUAAUGGAAUAGGAAUUAACUGGGCAGUAACCAAACCUUUUUGAGUACUAUUUCUUUCUCUGUAGGCAGGCAAUAGGGAAAGAAAGGAGGUAAACAAUCUUAUUAAAGAAAGGAGCACGAGCACUCGGCGAACUGAAAGAGAUGCUCUUAUAGAUGAAACAAGAAAAGGUAGAAUACCACUCCACUCUCAAUCAGGUCUUACAGCGAAUGCAGUUUCAGGGUUUCCGUUUUCAAGUAAGCUGUAGAAUAGCCUGUUCGAAAGUUGGAUGCUGGCGACGCCUCCGAAGCUGGUCAUUAUUGAGGUGUAAGAAUUUCCUGUUGGGAAGUGAAGUCAAAUUGCCUGUUUCUCUGCUUCUACUAUUGCUAAAAAGACAUAUGGCUCUGGACCACUACUCGUUUAAGAAGAGAUGACUGACUCUAAGGUCUAUAGGGAACCUACACAUCCCAUAGUCAAAUAAAGAAUGAAACUCCAACCAAAGCCGGAAAGAAUCACUUUGUAUACCAAACGCACCAAACCCAGAGUGAGGUUAGUUGAAAGAAGUAAGAGUAGCCUAGGAGCCUAAUGAAGUUAGAUGAGAUGUAUAGUAUUAACUGGCAAGAAGAGAGUACUGGUGUUUCAGCAGGGUCAAAUGCAGCUGUUAGAGCAGAUACCAGAGUUAGUUCGGGGCGGGCCUUCAGAUAGAGUUAGUUCAGAUAGCCUACCGAUCGAUUCUUUUUCACUCCUCCUUAAGUUUAAGUCACCGGUUAGUAAGUGGUUUCAUUCUUUGACUUAUAGCCUAAAUAGAACCUUUCUGGGGUGUGGUCAAUAUAGAACCUGUCCUGUCCAUUCUUCAGUAGUAGCUUUUGUAUGAGGGUACGAAACAGGAUGCUUAGCGUAGUUGCUAAGUUCACUUGUCUCUGCUUGUUACCUAGUGCUCCUACUUAAGGUAAAGCCCUCGGUUAAGCCUUAUCAGCAAUGGCAUUCUAAUAGGAUUCAACUCGGGGAAGGGAAGCAGUUCAAAUAGUCUCUUGAGCACCGGAAGAAGCCACUGGUAGAUCAGCUGUUGACCACUUUGACGAAACUGAUUCUGUUAUCUUGCUUAUAUAAUCACUUUUGAACUCACUACUCCUUCGCAACAAGGCCUUAGCAACCAUCAAGUGGGAAUUGACCUCUAAAGUAGGGGCCAAGCCAACAAAGGGAAAGCCCAGAACUGAGCUCUACGACUUCACUCUUAUUGCUGAACUCUUAUUGCUUUCGAGCCCUAAUAUGGGAACAGGAAUCAUAUGCUUUUAAAGCACCAAAAGAGUAGACUUAUCUCGCAACUCACCUCUCUCCUCUCCACUUAGUACUAGCCGUAAGAAGGCUUAACCUUAAUCCUCAACAACUUCACUUUGAUGCCUAGACACAGCUUCCCGACACAGAGAUGCUUGCCAUUAACUUAAGGGCUCCGGCAGUAAACCCGGGUCAACUGAUACAGAAUUCCACUUGCACUGAAGAAACCCUCUUCUAGUAUUGGAAUGAGACAAGGCCUGCCCCUAAUAGAUUGAUUCGAUUGAAUCACUAUCAGAAACAUCAAACCAGAACUAUCACUGGCACUGCUCCUGCAGAAGAUCUUUCCCCUGGUAAGAAGUUCCUCCGCCAAUAACCUAUCUUUGAGACUUGAUUAACUCACCCUGCUUUGCUUCUUUAGAAGAUUAUUGUACCUCGCUUCAAAGCCGAUGCUUUACCUCGCCAGGGGCAACUCGGGAUUACACUCAGGAAAGCCUUUCACUCCUGGUACUAAUUAACUCCCUUUCUUUCUAUAGGGGCCUCUUCUCUAGUAGACUAGGAUUACACUCGGGAUGAAACCUAGUGGUUGCUCAGCCUCUCUUCUAAAAGGAAGGAGUGCUAGGGAAGGAAAGACAGAAAGAAACUAACCCCUCGUAGUUGAAUGCAAAGAUGCGUUUUCUCGAUAUACGAAAUGCCCUGAGUUGCUUGUUGAGGAGUUGUUUGCUUCACUUAAAAACAAGAUAGAUUUCCACUCCCCUUAUAUGAGUGCACAGUAGAAAAACCCUACUUACUAUAUUAUUACCUACUUACUAAAUUAUUAGAUUAUUAUUAUAGGAUGACAUUAUUAUAGGAUGACAUUCCAGUAAGGGGGAUAGUCGGCUUAACCAGCAUCUGGAGCGCACGUAGCAAGCAGAACCUUCCUUCUAUCUACUUAAUGGAGUAGGCACAUCAACUAUUCCAGUAAAAGGUCAGCUACAUCAGUUCUGUGAAAAGGGGAAGCCAGGCCUGUAGUACUGCUCCACAAACACGGAUUCAAAAGACACUUGGUAUUCCACAAGAACAUGUGCAUUCCUACUAAAACAAGGGAAAGUGCCAGGUAAGAAAGAGAAUCAUCAGUUGAAAGAUCAGGUAAGGAAUCAGAGGCUCAAGUCAGGUCGAGGCCAAUAGAAUUCUCAUAUAAUAUAAUCAAGAUAUAAUAAGAAUGAAUGAAGUGGAAAAAGCCCUUUCCUGAGUGAACCUAAUUUCUCAUGUUAUGCGGCAGGGGUUGGAAGCCGGGGAAGCUGUGAGAAAGUAUUGUGUUGGUGCUGUAUCUCCUAGUAUAUGAGUUGGGGAAAUAAGAGAGUCUCGUCUCCUAUAAUACAAUCAGAUUACAAUCAGAUAGUCUACUAUAAUAAGAUAUAAUAAGACCUAUAAUAAGAUAUAAUAAGAUAAGCUAUUCCAUUUAGUAGAGAAAUAGUAUGUGCCAGAGCCAAACUAAUCCAUCUUUUUUUCAAUUGAAUCUAGGGAUUCCUAAGGUGUUAAGUCACUUCUAUUCUUUAGUGCAAAGGUCGUUCUAGUUGGUCAUGCAGAUUGACUCUUCUAUUUCUCUAUCUUGACUCGGAUGAGCCGAUGAUGUGCCCCAAGUAUACCAGCUCUCUCAUCCAUCCCUUUCUGCUGGUUCUAUACUACCUAACCAUGGAUAAUCUGUCGACCUAGCCCCUUUGCCUUGACGCUCUACUCGCACUGCGAACCUAAUCUUCCGCAUCAUUCACUAAGCGCGAGUGUUUCCGCUUUCUUCCUAAUUCUCAGUUUAGAUCUUAUUGCUUUCUCUUUAGAGUUAGGGGUUGGUCGAGCUACCUUCCGUACACUCUCGGGUUAGGUUAACGGGCUCGUGUUCCAAGUGUUUCACUCGUUUAUCCGCUCUUUUUUCACUUUCCUUUGAACUAGAAAGAUAUUGUAGAAUAGAGAUCUUGUGCUUUACCUCAGCUAGACAACUAAGAAGGCACUCUCGUCAAUAGGAAUAGGACGUGGUGUCAUGAUCGCGCACUCGACCAAAGAAGAAUCCGAGUCGGCGGGGAGGUGUGAUAAGAUCGUUGGAAGAUUAGUCUACACUCCAUCUAAAUAGAGACUCGAGAAGGUAGUUUAAUAAAGUGGCGACAUUCUUUCUGCUUGCUCUGCGGAAUCCAAUAUGUCUUCACCACAUUCAUCCCAAGGAAUGGACGACUACAGCCGUACCGUACCUAUUGUUAUUCUAUCGGUGGAGUUUCGUUUAGGCCUGUGGGAGUUAUACAAAUAAACGAUCCUCAACUAAU
rnacentral:lncRNA from 1 species